rnacentral:rRNA from 1 species
UACGUAGGGUGCAGGCGUUAAUCGGAAUUACUGGGCGUAAAGCGUGCGCAGGCGGCUCCUUAAGUCAGAUGUGAAAUCCCCGGGCUUAACCUGGGAAUUGCAUUGAGGACUGGCGUGCUCGAGUGCGGCAGAGGGGGGUGGAAUUCCACGUGUAGCAGUGAAAUGCAUAGAGAUGUGGAGGAACACCGAUGGCGAAGGCAGCCCCCUGGGCCGACACUGACGCUCAUGCACGAAAGCGUGGGGAGCAAACAGG